CCGCAUGCAUAGGCCCUGCAUUUCUAUGCGAGCCUUAUCCUCUCCCUAUCUCAUUCUCAUCCACUAACCCAUCCGCCUCUACCUCUCCAUGGUCCCUGCCCCUCUCCCUACCCCAAGCUCGAGAAGGACGACCACGACUCCGCGUAUUGCCUCCGCCCCUCCUCCGCCAAUGGCACCGCGCCCGAACCCCCGUCCGCCUCCGCCGCUGCGAGCAGGGCGCCGCCAAAUGACGACGGGAAGGAGGCCAUGGCGGAGGAGGCGGUCGACACCCUCGUCACGCACCGCGAGCGCGACGAGGAGCGCUGCAAGCUCAAGCUGCUCCACUACCAGUCCCUGGUACGCGCCCCCACGCCGCCCGCCGCCGCUGCAGCUCGACAUCCAUCCGCCGCUCACUAGAUCAAGUGCCCGCCAUGCCGACGGCCGCCGACCCCACCGCCGCACCCCCCUCACCUUCGACCUCGAGGACUUCAAGGGGGGGCUUCUCCUUCGACGCGCUGCUCGGGGACCUGGUGGACGAGCUGCUCCUGGAGUACUGCGAGGAGGAUGACUGCGCAACCGCGCCACCCCCGCCCCGCUGCCGCCGAGCUGCUCGGCCUGUUGAAGCACUCGUACAAGGAGCUCGUCGACCUCCGCAGGCAGAUUGACAAGAGACUCUAGAAUCUGAAGGAGGAGGUGGCCGUUCUGGACGCUAAGCAUUGCAAGACGUGGACGAAUAGGCCAGCGCUCGAGCCCGAACAACUCGCUCUUUCUCUAUAUAUCUAGAAUAAUUAAAGUCCUUAGGCAAUUUUAUCUAUCAUAUCUCACUAUUCUUCACUGUACUGCAAGUAUCUAGCAGGAAAGAAAAACCGUGUGAGGUCAAAUGCUGCAGCAGCCAACAGGCACGCCUGCAGCUUUUUGUGAUAAUCGCAAUCAAAUUCUGUGUGCGCCUUUUCUCUCCCCCUUCUAUUGUACCGAUGCACUAGAUUUUAGGAAAUGCUUUUAUUAGUUAAUCCUCAUGUGUGCUCAGGUGCAUUUUGAGACAGUUUUUUUUGUAUCAGUUGGAUGUAUGCUAUCAUUUGGAUGGUAAAAAAUUGGUUGUCAUUUUGUUUUGCUACCAGUUGGACAUAUGCUAUCAUUUGUUUGCAAGGGUAUUGAAAUUUAUUGUAGAGUUGCACUUAUUGACUAGUGCAUCUAGCUCGGGUCCUAGAAAAAUCCACCGUGCGGCUUGUGAUUUUGGGACUGGAAACGAGGAGCUGUCCUUUGUUUUCGCUCGCUAGAAUCCUGUAAUCCCCGAUAGUGGUGAUCAGGCUUUGGGGGCUAGUCAACCAGUGUAUCUACUCUUAUUUGUGGGCAACUUAUACUAAAUUAACAAGCAAAUUAUUCAGUUCGGUUUAGCAUUUUUGUGUUUUAACUUUUAACAUUUCUUGUGCUCUGCUUUUUAGUUUUCUAGCUUCUGCUGUUCACAAAACUAUCCUAGGAUGAACCUGCUUUUUUUUAAUGAUGAUCCCGCCCUCAUCCCUGUCCUAGGAAUUCUCAGUAUGAUGUCAAGAGCCCAUAAGCAGCAUCAAGGCCAAGCGGCCACACAAAACAGUGUUUAGGACCUGAAAUUUGAUGUGCCUUUUUUCUGCCUACAAGUUUCCUCGGCCAAUUGGCAUUAUAACAUGCUCUUCAGUAGCUUGGUGUUUAGUGGCCUGGAAGUUCAUCAGAUUGUUAUCGAUAGCAGUUUAGUUGCAGCUCAAUCUUGAUAUUGGUUCAUGUGCAGCUUGGUAGUAGUUGUAGUAGCUCUAAUUUUUUGUUUGGUCACUACAACAGUGGAGGCAAUUAGGCAAUCAGAUGCAUGCUUGUAGUUUUGAAACUUUGUUAUUGUUAAAAUUUAGAUGGGUAAAAAUGCAUUUGUAUAUGUUCUAAUUUGUUUGCUGAUUUUUAAAGCUUUGCUUUUGAGAUCCUAAAA